CAGGAAACAUAUGAUGGAAUGGCGACAAGGGAAAUGCCCUCUAGGAGGUUGGCCUUGCUAUGAAGCAACUCUACUGGAUGUUGAUGCUGCAACUUUUGAAAAGUUUCCCGGGACUUCAAAAGGUGUCAUAAGCGAUGCUGUUAACAGGAAAAUUGCA